AUGGCACUCGAUCUGCAAUCCAUGGACAGCGGCCUGGCUGCUCUUGCUGCUUCUUACCUCGGCGGGGAGGAAGCCGUCAAGAAGCCUGACAGCAGUCCAUCCGCAGGAGAGGGAAAGCCAAGCUUCGUCUUGAUCGAGCCAUACGCCUUCUUUGCCGACCGCCGCAACGCCACCACCGCCGACUGCGGCUUGGAGGGUCUCCGUCUCCGGGGUAACAUCGAGGUCACCUUCUGCACCGCCCAACCACCGCAGGUCUCCUACCUAUGCUUCCACGUCACCGCCUACGACCACAACGUGUUCGCCACCCGGCCUAGCAUAGUCGCCACAGAGACUGACGGUGGGCUCGUCCUCCUAUGCGUCGUAGUCGGUGAUUGCCCAUCCGAUGCGUUGUAUCGCCGCAAUCGACACUACUUCGUCUACGACGCCAGUGUUCCCGAGCUCAAGCACAUCAAGCAGCCCGGCAACGACCACCCAGAGCUAAUGGUCCCCGACGCCGACGAGUUCAUCACAUACAAGGCAAUCACAAUCGGAGGUGAUGAAGGAACAGUGGCCUGGGUUGAUCUCUCGCAUAUGAUCAUCUUCUGCAACGUGCUGGACAAACGCCCCAAGCCUCAUUUCUUAAGACUGCCUAGCAAUGCAACUCGAUCGCCCGCUGUUCGGGACGUUUCAGUCCUUAAUGGCUUCAUCAAGAUGGUCGAGCUGGAGCACCGUGCUAUUGGUUGGAAGGCCACAAUAUGGAGCAUCAAGACUGGCAUCUUCUCCAAAGCGCAUUGGAGUGUCGAUUGCCAGUUCGAUUCCUCUGCUAUACCUGAACCGCCGCUGCCUAAGCUGAAGCACACAUCAUGGGUGCUUGCUGUUGACAUGAAGAACAACACUGUCCAGAGAGUGGCUGAGUUUAGCCCCAAGAGGGCUAUUGGUUUAGCCAGGGGCUACGAUUCAAGUACGAUCUCCAAAUAUCUCAAAGUUGGUCCAGGGAAAGGCGUGCAAGAAGCUGAGCAGUGA
rnacentral:rRNA from 1 species